AGGACGAACGCUGGCGGCGUGCCUAAUACUGCAAGUCGAGCGGACAGAAGGGAGCUUGCUCCCGGAUGUUAGCGGCGGACGGGUGAGUAACACGCUGGGUAACCUGCCUGUAAGACUGGGAUAACUCCGGGAAACCGGAGCUAAUACCGGAUAGUUCCUUGAACCGCAUGGUUCAAGGAUGAAAGACGGUUUCGGCUGUCACUUACAGAUGGACCCGCGGCGCAUUAGCUAGUUGGUGAGGUAACGGCUCACCAAGGCGACGAUGCGUAGCCGACCUGAGAGGGUGAUCGGCCACACUGGGACUGAGACACGGCCCAGACUCCUACGGGAGGCAGCAGUAGGGAAUCUUCCGCAAUGGACGAAAGUCUGACGGAGCAACGCCGCGUGAGUGAUGAAGGUUUUCGGAUCGUAAAGCUCUGUUGUUAGGGAAGAACAAGUGCAAGAGUAACUGCUUGCACCUUGACGGUACCUAACCAGAAAGCCACGGCUAACUACGUGCCAGCAGCCGCGGUAAUACGUAGGUGGCAAGCGUUGUCCGGAAUUAUUGGGCGUAAAGGGCUCGCAGGCGGUUUCUUAAGUCUGAUGUGAAAGCCCCCGGCUCAACCGGGGAGGGUCAUUGGAAACUGGGAAACUUGAGUGCAGAAGAGGAGAGUGGAAUUCCACGUGUAGCGGUGAAAUGCGUAGAGAUGUGGAGGAACACCAGUGGCGAAGGCGACUCUCUGGUCUGUAACUGACGCUGAGGAGCGAAAGCGUGGGGAGCGAACAGGAUUAGAUACCCUGGUAGUCCACGCCGUAAACGAUGAGUGCUAAGUGUUAGGGGGUUUCCGCCCCUUAGUGCUGCAGCUAACGCAUUAAGCACUCCGCCUGGGGAGUACGGUCGCAAGACUGAAACUCAAAGGAAUUG
rnacentral:rRNA from 2 species